UUAACUAUUAUAUAGUACUCAGACGACAUGUAUAAACAGAGUUUAGGGUCCUCUGGCGAGCGCUCACCAGCGUGAGCCGGUGGCCGAGGCGGCUCGCCAAAGCAACAAAGGUAUAGUUGACAUAGGGUUGGAGAGUCACCCUCGCGGGCGAGUUUCUCUGUAAUGAUCCCUCCGCAGGUUCACCUACGGAGA
rnacentral:misc_RNA from 1 species